UACGUAGGGUGCAAGCGUUAAUCGGAAUUACUGGGCGUAAAGCGUGCGCAGGCGGUUUUGUAAGCCAGAUGUGAAAGCCCCGGGCUUAACCUGGGAAUGGCAUUUGGGACUGCAAGGCUUGAGUGCGGCAGAGGAGACUGGAAUUCCGGGUGUAGCGGUGGAAUGCGUAGAGAUCCGGAAGAACACCGGUGGCGAAGGCGGUCUGCUGGGGUCGAACUGACGCUGAGGCGCGACAGCGUGGGGAGCAAACAGG
rnacentral:rRNA from 1 species